GACGAACGCUGGCGGCGUGCUUAACACAUGCAAGUCGAACGGAAAGGCCCUGCUUUUGUGGGGUGCUCGAGUGGCGAACGGGUGAGUAACACGUGAGUAACCUGCCCUUGACUUUGGGAUAACUUCAGGAAACUGGGGCUAAUACCGGAUAGGAGCUCCUGCUGCAUGGUGGGGGUUGGAAAGUUUCGGCGGUUGGGGAUGGACUCGCGGCUUAUCAGCUUGUUGGUGUGGUAGUGGCUUACCAAGGCUUUGACGGGUAGCCGGCCUGAGAGGGUGACAGGCCACAUUGGGACUGAGAUACGGCCCAGACUCCUACGGGAGGCAGCAGUGGGGAAUAUUGCACAAUGGGCGGAAGCCUGAUGCAGCAAAGCCGCGUGCGGGAUGACGGCCUUCGGGUUGUAAACCGCUUUCGCCUGUGACGAAGCGUGAGUGACGGUAAUGGGUAAAGAAGCACCGGCUAACUACGUG
rnacentral:rRNA from 1 species